UACAGUACAGUACUAAUAUUUUGAAAUAUUGGUACAGUGACGAACAGAGUGACACGUUUUAAACGCGUCCGGCCGUCCGCUGGUCCUUGCCUUACCGUACGCCGUACGGUAGACGAGGGGGUAGUGGACCCGUCUAAGACAUGUCACGUACGAGUACGACUCGUACAUAAUACGUAUCCCGAGUCGACUCUCAGACCUCAGUAAGGCUCAGUUGCUUACUUGCUUCCGCUCUCGGCUGUUGUUAAACAUACAGAGCUCUUUCAAUUUUCACCAUGAGUAGUGACGAGGAUCAACCUGGUUGUAGCAGUACAUACCAUUCACCACCACGUAAAAAAGCAAAAGUGUGGUAUAAGCAAUCAUUCAAACAGGAGUGGCUAGAAGAAGAGGAAUUUAAAUCAUGGGUGAAAGCUGAUCCUUCAGAUAAAUUCAGUGCAGUGUGCUGUGUGUGUGACGGAACAAUUAAAAACCUGCAGUAAAUCACGCUUGUUGAGUCACAAGAAUUCCACAAAACAUGCAAAAAACUUCGCUGCCAAGAGAAACAUGACUGUGAUUGACAAAUUUGUUGUGAAAAAAAACAGAACCUGACAAGAAAGAAAAAGUACAUCGUGCUGAAUUACUGCUUACGGGCUUCAUGGCAGAACAUGGCAUGCCAUUUUCUCAAGCUAAUCCACUUAAUACCCGUAAUCAAGAAGAUGUUUCCCGAUUGUGAUACUGCACAGAACAUGACACUUAUGAAAACAAAGGCAGCUUAUGUGAUGCAAGAUGGAAUAGCAUGGGAAGAAAGCCAUGAUAUAUCCAAAGUGUGCCAAGAAAAUAUGUUUUCACUGAUAAUUGAUGAAAGCACAGACAUUUCAGUGUCCCAGAUCCUUGCCGUGAUGGUAAGGUAUUAUGAUGGCAAGAAAUGUAAAGUAACUGAUGCUCUGUUAGAUAUUAUAGAAGUUGAUGAUGCAUCUGCCUGAAAGUCUCUACAAAGCAGUGAAAACUUUACUUUCUGUGAAAAUGAUACCGGUCUCCAAUAUAAUUGGCUUUGCAAGUGACAACUGUUCUACAAUGUUAGGCUCAAAAAGUGGCUUCCAAGCCUACCUGAAACGUGAUGUUCCCUCAGUUUUUGUACUGGGAUGCAUUUGUCAUUCUUUUGCCUUAUGUGCCAGUCAUGCUUGCUCCACCCUGCCUUCAUUUUUGGAACAGUUCCUGAGAGACAUUUGCUGUUAUUUUUCACGUAGCAGCAAGCGGACACACCAGUUCCAGGUAUUUCAAGACAUUACCAAGAGUCCGCAACACAGAAUGCUUAAGCUUUCCCAGACAAGAUGGCUAUCUAGAGGAAAAGUAAUUGCCCGCAUCCUGGAGCAGUGGGAUGCUCUACUUUUAUUCUUUCAAGGGGAAAUGAAAACAGAUGCAGUAAAGCUUGAUGGUGCAGGUGAAAUAUACAAAAUGAUGGUCAGUCGUGGAACAAAACACAUGCUGCUUUUCCUCAACUACGUACUAGGUAAAGUUGACAGGAUGAACUUGGAGUUUCAGUCCGAACAGUACAGACUUGCAACACUUCAUGCAUCCAUUGCUGGAGAGUAUAGAAGCAUUCUUGGCAUGUUUAUCAAAGAGGAUGUUUUGUUCACAGAAAAGUUGUCCAACAUCAAUCCCCAAGACACCACUUUAUACCAAAGUUUGGAGAAACUCAACCUUGGGGGUCGAUGUAGUGCCCUGCUUAUUAAGGAGCCAAUACAUGACAGUGAUGCAGGGAAAAGAUUCCUCAUAGACUGCCGAAACUUCCUAGUAGAACUAUGUUUACAAAUGAAGAAACGCUUCCCUUUUGAAGAGGACAGCGUUAUUGCUCUGAUGAAAAACAUUGACCCUAAAGUUGCUGUAUCACCUCACAGAAGUACAUACAUCACGAGUCUCGCAGUGCACUUUCCAAUGGUUGUUAAAGAGGAGGAAUUGGAUACUUUAGAAGAUGAAUGGCAAAAUCUGAUUUAUAGCAAGGAAACUGUGCAAAACCUCACUCAGACACCUACAUCAUUCUGGAGUGAACUACAAAAAGUUAAAGAUGGAAAUAACAAGAUGAAAUUUGGAGUACUAGCAAGACUUAUGUGUGGACUAUUAGCAUUGCCACACUCAUCGGCUUGUGUAGAAAGGGUAUUCUCGCAAGUUAAUAUAAAAACAAAGCAAAGUAACAGACUUCUGGCAACAACCAUCUCUAAUAGACUUCUAGCAAAACAAGCAAUUGCUCGACAAAGUGUAAAAUGUUUUGACUGGGAGCCAUCAGCACGCCUAAUAGGAGAUGUGAAAAGUGGCGCGUGUCAUCAGCGGUAUGUAGAAAGGUGCAACAAGCGUGAGGUGGCAACAAUCCACCCUGCCUCUGACUCGGACAGCGACGAUCCUCUGCCAGUUCAUCCCCACUAAACACAGCAACAUUAAAGUUUUUCUAUGUUUAGGGAGUGGCAACACUGGUCUGUGUGGCGGGGCCUUGGGGGGGUAAAGUCUUGGCCUGGCCACCCUGCCUGUGACCUGUGGCCUCUUGUUGCUUCACCAUGUUAAGAGGGUGGUGCUGUGAAGCUGGUGGCACAGGAGCUGACCAGUGCUGCAGGAAGACAGCACACAGCUUCAGUAUCUUCCAUGAUAGUGUUUAAAUAUACUGUUUUGGUUUGUUUAUUAGCAGUCAGAUUAAUUUGCUUUGCUUAGUCUUCAUUUAUUCUUUAUUUAGUGUUGGCAUAUAUAUAAUUGUUUAAUCUUU